rnacentral:rRNA from 1 species
UACGGAGGGUGCAGGCGUUAUCCGGAUUCACUGGGUUUAAAGGGUGCGUAGGAGGGCAGGUAAGUCAGUGGUGAAAUCUCCAAGCUUAACUUGGAAACUGCCGUUGAUACUAUCUGUCUUGAAUACCGUGGAGGUGAGCGGAAUAUGUCAUGUAGCGGUGAAAUGCUUAGAUAUGACAUAGAACACCAAUUGCGAAGGCAGCUCGCUACACGAAUAUUGACUCUGAGGCACGAAAGCGUGGGGAUCAAACAGG